CAAGCAGGAAAGCCUGCUAAUAAAGAUCCCCGCACACCUCUCCUGAACCUGAUGAAGGGAUACUUCAUACUAACAAGAUGUCAAGCAUUGCCGCCUUCAGUGUUCAGAUCGUAAAUUUGGUUCCAGUACUGUACUUUAUGAAAGAGUGUGUUGACGUUAGUACGGAUGCCACGGAUACUGCUCGAAGAUUGGCUAGACUUACUAUCAAAGGAACUUAAUGGAAAGUUAUAUACCAGGUUCGUGCUGGACUUCUCCGUGUCAACAAUCUCCAACUCCGGUGUCCUGUUUUUCGUCCCGUAGUGCUAACGAAAAGAAAAUUCUUCUCAAGUUCAACGACGAAAAGGUAACUGUCUAUCACUAAUCACUAUAUGCGAGGUAAACCUAUGGAGUUGGCAUGGAGGGCAGCAUCAACGAUGGGGUUACACAUAGGGGCCCGAUCGAUGAUAUAUAAAGUGAAGAGUUACAAGUUCUACAAGACUUAUCUGUUCACCGGUUUAUCAAAUCAUGAUUUGGAAAAACUUAAUUCAUGAACUCGAGACUCUAAGUUACUGAGUUAUAUUAUUAUUUCCUGUAUUGCCGGGAAGGCUGUUAAUUUAGGAUAGAGUUUUUGUGGCACUUAUCUCAGCUUGUUCUUUUGUAGUUGUUCUCACACAGCUGAGUAAAAGUUUCAAAACUU